ACAGGGGGGAGGGAGAGCGGGUCAGAGGGGGGUUUACAAAGUAAAGAGGACUGGACAAAGUAAACAGGGACACUUAGCAGAAAAAAGAGCAGCUCAGACCCGGAUCGGCCCGUCGGGGCCGCGAUACAAAAACUACUUAUUCAAAGAGGAAAAGCACAAGAAAACGAGGGCGAAUCCGAAUACGGAUCCAGUGAGGAUGUAACAGUACCGCAUACCAAAAAUAUCAAUAAAAUAUAAA